GUUAACGUAGCUUAAACAAAGCGUGGCACUGAAGAUGCCAAGAUAAGUCGUGAAAAACUUCGAUAGCG
rnacentral:tRNA from 1 species